AGGCAGGGAGGAUCGGGGUGCUAGCCGUACCCCAAAUCCAGAAAUCGGCUUCAUGCUGGGAUCAGUAACUGCUGGAUAAAUCCAUAAAUGGGAGGCACCUGCUUGCCUUGCUGAAAUGAAAUCAUGCCGUGUCGGAUGGUUAUGAACAGCGUACCGCGCGAAGGCGCAGUUUCGACUGUGAAUCGUUGAAAUGGGUGAGGUCCGGGAGGGAGCAACCCUAAGGCGGCGUAGUCAUGCUGGCACGUCUACGUGGUGGAUCUUGCAUGGCUUGAGAUUGGGCCUUGUGUUUAUGGUGGUACCAGUGGGCUGCCC
rnacentral:SRP_RNA from 1 species